GACCGCGUCGUGAGCUCCUCCCGAUCUGAAUCCCCCACUCCCCCAAUCCUCUGCCUCCUGUGAUCCUGCCUUGAGACGUGACCCCCGCCGCUGCGGCGACGACACCAGAGCUUGCUGAUCCUCAGUUCCUUCUUCACUACAGAUCUCCUUUCCCGUGUGAUGAGCCCCUUUCACGCCGACGGCGGCGGUUCGUCGGUGUGGGAGUAGGUGUAGGUGCUGUCGGGGCGGCUCUACGGACUACGGUGACGGUGUUGGCGUCGUCGGUGUCGAAAGAUCGGAGUGCAGCCACCGCGGAUUGCCGGACGCACAUUUCUGCACCGCAUCCGCCUCGGCCGCCAUUCUGAUUACUUAACUUCCGGUUGAUGGAUUCGAGUUCUAUAACAGUUAUGCUCUUGAGAAAGAUUUUAGUCUGUAGAAAAGCUAUGUUGAGUGGAAUGAAACCAAGCAGGAGAUAAUUCAGAGGAAACUGGUCUGUACUCGAGAAGAGAAGCACAUGAAGAGAGAAGAUAGGAACACGAAGCCACAGAAUCUCACUCGUGUUGGAUGUCGAGCCAAAUUUGUUGUUGGAAGACUCAAAAAAAUGGGCCUAUAGUUUGUGAAAGAUUUUGUCGAUGAACACACCCGUCCGUUUCGAUAAUACAUAAAGUAGAUUGCAAAGCUAUUAGAUGAAAGCUGACUUGUAAUACACAUUUUAUGUUCUGCAAGAACAAAGAAAGAGCUAAUUUAAUAGCCUAGCUA